rnacentral:rRNA from 1 species
GGGUAGAGCACUGUUUGGGCUAGGGGGUCAUCCCGACUUACCAACCCCAUGCAAACUCCGAAUACCCAGGAGUGCGAGCACGGCAGACAGACGGCGGGUGCUAACGUCCGUCGUCGAGAGGGCAACAACCCAGACCGCCAGCUAAGGUCCCCAAUACCAGUUAAGUGGGAAACGAUGUGGGAAGGCGAAGACAGCUAGGAGGUUGGCUUAGAAGCAGCCAUCCUUUAAAGAAAGCGUAAUAGCUCACUAGUCGAGUCGGCCUGCGCGGAAGAUGUAACGGGGCUAAACUGGUAACCGAAGCUGCGGAUGUGUGUGUGGUUCGCCACGCACACAUGGUAGAGGAGCGUUCUGUAAGCCGUUGAAGGUGAACCGGGAGGUUUGCUGGAGGUAUCAGAAGUGCGAAUGCUGACAUGAGUAACGAUAAGGGGGGUGAAAAACCUCCCCGCCGGAAGAUCAAGGUUUCCUGCGCAACGCUAAUCGGCGCAGGGUGAGUCGGCCCCUAAGGCGAGGGCGAAAGCCGUAGUCGAUGGGAAACGGGCUAAUAUUCCCGUACUUCUUCAUAGUGCGAUGGGGGGACGGAGCAGGCUAGGCCAUCAGGGCGUUGGUAGUCCCUGUUUAAGGUUGUAGGCUGAUUGCUUAGGUAAAUCCGGGUGAUCAAGGCCGAGAGCUGAUGACGAGUCCAAGGCGAGAGCCGCGGAUGAAGUGGUUGAUGCCAUACUUCCAGGAAAAGCCUCUAAGCUUCAGCUAUGAAGGAACCGUACUGUAAACCGACACAGGUGAUCAGGUAGAGAAUACCAAGGCGCUUGAGAGAACUCGGGUGAAGGAACUAGGCAAAAUGGUACCGUAACUUCGGGAGAAGGUACGCUGCUGUUGGUGACCGGACUUGCUCCGUGAGCUGACGGCAGUCGAAGUGACCAGUUGGCUGCGACUGUUUAUUAAAAACAUAGCACUGUGCAAACACGAAAGUGGACGUAUACGGUGUGACGCCUGCCCGGUGCCGGAAGGUUAAAUGAUGGGGUUAUCUUCGGAGAAGCUCUUGAUUGAAGCCCCGGUAAACGGCGGCCGUAACUAUAACGGUCCUAAGGUAGCGAAAUUCCUUGUCGGGUAAGUUCCGACCUGCACGAAUGGCGUAACGAUGGCCAAACUGUCUCCACCCGAGACUCAGUGAAAUUGAAAUCGCUGUUAAGAUGCAGUGUACCCGCGGCUAGACGGAAAGACCCCGUGAACCUUUACUAUAGCUUCACACGGGACUUUGACCUUACUUGUGUAGGAUAGCUGGGAGGCUUUGAAGCGUGGACGCCAGUUCGCGUGGAGCCAACCUUGAAAUACCAGCCUGGUAAUGUUGAGGUUCUAACUCAGGUCCCUUAUCGGGAUCGAGGACAGUGUGUGGUGGGUAGUUUGACUGGGGCGGUCUCCUCCCAAAGAGUAACGGAGGAGCACGAAGGUGCGCUAAUCCUGGUCGGAAAUCAGGAGCUUAGUGUAAAGGCACAAGCGCGCUUGACUGCGAGACUGACAAGUCGAGCAGGUACGAAAGUAGGUCUUAGUGAUCCGGUGGUUCUGAAUGGAAGGGCCAUCGCUCAACGGAUAAAAGGUACUCCGGGGAUAACAGGCUGAUACCGCCCAAGAGUUCACAUCGACGGCGGUGUUUGGCACCUCGAUGUCGGCUCAUCACAUCCUGGGGCUGAAGCCGGUCCCAAGGGUAUGGCUGUUCGCCAUUUAAAGUGGUACGCGAGCUGGGUUUAGAACGUCGUGAGACAGUUCGGUCCCUAUCUGCCGUGGGCGUUGGAGAAUUGAGGGAAGCUGCUCCUAGUACGAGAGGACCGGAGUGGACGAACCUCUGGUGUUCCGGUUGUCACGCCAGUGGCACUGCCGGGUAGCUAUGUUCGGACGGGAUAACCGCUGAAAGCAUCUAAGCGGGAAGCCUCUCCCAAGAUGAGUUCUCCCUGACCCCUUGA